rnacentral:rRNA from 1 species
CAGUCGCCGCGGUAAUACGUAGGUGGCAAGCGUUGUCCGGAAUUAUUGGGCGUAAAGGGCUCGCAGGCGGUUUCUUAAGUCUGAUGUGAAAGCCCCCGGCUCAACCGGGGAGGGUCAUUGGAAACUGGGAAACUUGAGUGCAGAAGAGGAGAGUGGAAUUCCACGUGUAGCGGUGAAAUGCGUAGAGAUGUGGAGGAACACCAGUGGCGAAGGCGACCCUCUGGUCUGUAACUGACGCUGAGGAGCGAAAGCGUGGGGAGCGAACAGGAUUAGAUACCCCAGUAGUCCCUGUCUCUUAUAC